CCCCACUGCUAUCGGGAUAGGACUAAGACAUGCUAGUCGAGUGACUCAGGCAAAACGAGUCACGGCACACAGCUCAGUAACACGUGGCUAAUCUGCCCUUGGGACGAGAACAACCCCGGGAAACUGGGGCUAAUUCGCGAUAGGCGAAGAACUCUGGAAUGAGUCUUCACCCAAAAGACACCGCGUUNUCCUCGUGGUGUUGCCUAAGGAUGAGGCCGCGACCGAUCAGGUUGUUGGUGAGGUAAUGGCUCACCAAGCCUUUUACCGGUGCGGGCCGUGGGAGCGGGAGCCCGGAGAUGGGCACUGAGACAAGGGCCCAGGCCCUACGGGGCGCANCAGUCGCGAAAACUUUGCAAUAAGCGAAAGCUUGACARGGCUAUCCCGAGUGCCAUCCGCUGAGGAAGGCUUUUACCCAGUCUAGAACGCUGGGGGAAUAAGGAGAGGGCAAGUCUGGUGUCAGCCGCCGCGGUAAUACCAGCUCUCCGAGUGGUGUGGAUGUUUAUUGGGCCUAAAGCAUCCGUAGCUGGCUAAGUUAGUCCCUUGUUAAAUCCACCGAAUUAAUCGUUGGAUUGCGGGGGAUACUGCUUGGCUAGGGGACGAGAGAGGCAGACGGUAUUUUCGGGGUAGGGGUGAAAUCCUAUAAUCCCGGGAAGACCACCAGUGGCGAAGGCUGUCUGCUAGAACGCGCCCGACGGUGAGGGAUGAAAGCUGGGGGAGCGAACCGGAUUAGAUACCCGGGUAGUCCCAGCUGUAAACGAUGCAGGCUAGGUGUUUGGACGGCCACGUGCCGUUCUAGUGCCGCAGGGAAGCUGUUAAGCCUGCCGCCUGGGGAGUACGAUCGCAAGAUUGAAACUUAAAGGAAUUGGCGGGGGAGCACCACAAGGGGUGAAGCUUGCGGUUU
rnacentral:rRNA from 1 species